GACGAACCGUCCAACCGUUAUUCGGAAUCACUGGGCUUACAGAGUUCGUAGGCGGUCUGGAAAGUUGGGUGUGAAAUCCCUCGGCUCAACCGAGGAACUGCGCUUGAAACUACCAGACUCGAGGGAGAUAGAGGAAAGCGGAACUGAUGGUGGAGCGGUGAAAUGCGUUGAUAUCAUCAGGAACACCGAUUGCGAAGGCAGCUGGCCAACUUGUAACUGACGCUGAGGGACGAAAGUGUGGGGAUCAAACAGG
rnacentral:rRNA from 1 species